UCCUACGGGAGGCAGCAGUGGGGAAUAUUGCACAAUGGGCGCAAGCCUGAUGCAGCGACACCGCGUGAGGGAUGACGGCCUUCGGGUUGUAAACCUCUUUCGCCAGGGACGAAGCUUCGGUGACGGUACCUGGAGAAGAAGCACCGGCCAACUACGUGCCAGCAGCCGCGGUAAUACGUAGGGUGCGAGCGUUGUCCGGAAUUACUGGGCGUAAAGAGCUCGUAGGCGGUUUGUCGCGUCGUCUGUGAAAUUCUGCAACUCAAUUGUAGGCGUGCAGGCGAUACGGGCAGACUUGAGUACUACAGGGGAGACUGGAAUUCCUGGUGUAGCGGUGAAAUGCGCAGAUAUCAGGAGGAACACCGGUGGCGAAGGCGGGUCUCUGGGUAGUAACUGACGCUGAGGAGCGAAAGCGUGGGUAGCGAACAGGAUUAGAUACCCUGGUAGUCCACGCCGUAAACGGUGGGUACUAGGUGUGGGUUCCUUUUCACGGGAUCCGUGCCGUAGCUAACGCAUUAAGUACCCCGCCUGGGGAGUACGGCCGCAAGGCUAAAACUCAAAGGAAUUGACGGAAUCUG
rnacentral:rRNA from 1 species